AUGAUCCAGUUUGCCCAUAAAAGGAAACUGCCAGUCAUUGCGUUAAAGCUAGAUUUUCAUAAGGCCUUUGACAGCGUCAGUUGGUGCUGCCUUCACAAGAUCCUUGAUGCCAGGGGAUUUCCACAAGUAUGGACUAACUGGAUAUGUGCCCUCUUGUCUAUUGGCAGCUCUAGGGUUCUACUCAAUGAGGAGAUGGGUCCUCCCAUCACGGCAAAGAAAGGUUUUCGACAGGGGGAUUCUCUCUCCCCAUACCUUUUCAUCCUUGUGGCUGAUGUGCUAUAGAGGAUGUGUUGUCAGUUGUUUCAAGCUGGUUCCUUGCUGCACCCCCUUGGUUCAGACAGCUUCUUCCCGGUCCUACAGUAUGCAGACGACACACUGAUUCUUUUUCAUGGCAGCACGCAACAAGCAGAAAUAAUUAAGGCAGUCCUCUCAGCUUUCUCUGGUUUUUUUGGGCUUACUAUAAACUUUCACAAGAGCACCCUAGUGCCUGUCUCAGUGGAUGCAAACACUGCCUCUGCCAUUGCUCAGAUCCUUGGUUGCCCUGUUUCCUCUUUUCCUUGCACGUAUUUGGGCUUGCCUCUAUCCUUGCACAAAAUAAACCAUGGUAUGCUGCUGCCUGUCAUCCACAAGGUUGAUCGUCGCCUCUCUGGAUGGUUAGCCACUUACCUAUCUCUAGGUGGGCGGCUAACCCUCAUCAAGUCGGUACUAGCAGGCAUUCCAAGUUACUUCAUGGCUUGUUUCCCCUGGCCUAUGGAAUCCAUUGCAAAGUUGGAAGUGUUGCUGCGUGCUUUUUUCUGGCAAGGUAAGAACAAGAUCAAAGGUGGUCAAUGUUUGGUCACUUGGGAUACAGUCUCUCUACCUCGUAUCAAUGGUGGCUUGGGUGUUUGA
rnacentral:rRNA from 1 species